rnacentral:rRNA from 1 species
CAGUCGCCACGGUAACACGUAGGUGGCAAGCGUUGUCCGGAAUUAUUGGGCGUAAAGGGCUCGCAGGCGGUUUCUUAAGUCUGAUGUGAAAGCCCCCGGCUCAACCGGGGAGGGUUAUUGGAAACUGGGAAACUUGAGUGCAGAAGAGGAGAGUGGAAUUCCACGUGUAGCGGUGAAAUGCGUAGAGAUGUGGAGGAACACCAGUGGCGAAGGCGACUCUCUGGUCUGUAACUGACGCUGAGGAGCGAAAGCGUGGGGAGCGAACAGGAUUAGAUACCCCAGUAGUCCCUGUCUCUUAUAC